rnacentral:rRNA from 1 species
AUUGAACGCUGGCGGCAGGCCUAACACAUGCCAGUCGAGCGGAUGAAGGGAGCUUGCUCCUGGAUUCAGCGGCGGACGGGUGAGUAAUGCCUAGGAAUCUGCCUGGUAGUGGGGGAUAACGUCCGGAAACGGGCGCUAAUACCGCAUACGUCCUGAGGGAGAAAGUGGGGGAUCUUCGGACCUCACGCUAUCAGAUGAGCCUAGGUCGGAUUAGCUAGUUGGUGGGGUAAAGGCCUACCAAGGCGACGAUCCGUAACUGGUCUGAGAGGAUGAUCAGUCACACUGGAACUGAGACACGGCCCAGACUCCUACGGGAGGCAGCAGUGGGGAAUAUUGGACAAUGGGCGAAAGCCUGUUCCAGCCAUGCCGCGUGUGUGACGAAGGUCUUCGGAUUGUAAAGCACUUUAGGUUGGAAGGAAAGGCAGUAAGUUAAUACCUGGCUUCUAUGACGUUACCAACAGAAUAAGCACCGGCUAACUACGUG